UGUUAGGAUUGUACAAGAAAGGACUACGGCGUGAAGCAGAUGCGCUGUUUAGAAAAAUGAAAGAAGAUGGGAUUUUGCCAAA
rnacentral:sRNA from 1 species